rnacentral:lncRNA from 1 species
GAGGAAUCCACCAGUCCCGGAAAUAUGAUUCCCUGAUUCAGGAUCAGGCCCGGGAACUGUCUUACCUACGGCAAAAAAUACGAGAAGGGAGAGGUGUUUGUUAUCUUCUCACCCAGCAUGCAAAAGAUACAGUAAAAUCUUUUGAGGAUCUCCUAAGGAGCAAUGACAUUGACUACUACCUGGGACAGAGCUUCCGGGAGCAACUG